AUACGGAGGGGGUUAGCGUUGUUCGGAAUUACUGGGCGUAAAGCGCACGUAGGCGGACUGGAAAGUUGGGGGUGAAAUCCCGGGGCUCAACCCCGGAACUGCCUCCAAAACUUCCAAUCUAGAGAUCGAGAGAGGUGAGUGGAAUUCCAAGUGUAGAGGUGAAAUUCGUAGAUAUUUGGAGGAACACCAGUGGCGAAGGCGGCUCACUGGCUCGAUACUGACGCUGAGGUGCGAAAGCGUGGGGAGCAAACAGAAUUAGAAACCCCAGUAGUCC
rnacentral:rRNA from 1 species